ensembl:rRNA 5S_rRNA 5S ribosomal RNA
CUCUAUGGCCAUAUCACCCUGAACACACCCAAUCUCUUCUGAUCUCAGAAGCUAAGCAGGGUCGGCCCUGGUUAGCACUUGGAUGGGAGUCCUCCCAACAUUUGAUCUUCAGAUU